GGAAGUGGGAGGCCACCAGGGUGCUGCAUAUUGCCAGCAAGGAAAGGCACAGGCCCCAGGGCAAAACAGAAUAGAUCACAAAAUGAGAGCAGAUACAGUGCAUCACCACCUUGUUUACAAGGCUUGUUCUGCCCCACACUCCUGCAUGGAUGGAAGGCAGCUGGGAGGAGAAAGCAGGGCCAGGUUCCAGGGAGAAGGACAGAUCUUCCGCCCAGGCACAUUUUAGCAAAAAGGAUAUAGGCUUCCCUUUGGGAAUAUCAUGAAAUGAGCCUGCAGAAAGGAAUUUGCUGGAGAUUCAAGAGUAGAAAUCACUGAAGUAAUUAAGUCCAACUUGAGAAGCAGAGGAAAAAAUAUCAUGACCCACCAG
rnacentral:lncRNA from 1 species